GUUUCGUGUGAACAGUGGUUGAUCACGAGUUAGUCGGUCCUAAGUUUAAUGCGAAAGCUGAAUAUUUUCAAAGUUUUUUUAAUUUAAUUUAUUAAUAUAUAUAAAAAAUAUAUACUUUGAUAAAUAUAUUUAAACGAAAGGGAAUACGGUUCCAAUUCCGUAACCUGUUGAGUAUCCGUUUGUUAUUAAAAAUGGGCCUUGUGCUCAUCCUGGUAACAGGAACGACCAUAAAGAAGCCGUCGAGAGAUAUCGGAAGAGUUUUCUUUUCUGUUUUAUAAUCGUAUUACCAUGGAAGUCUUUCGAAGAGAGAUAUGGUAGAUGGAUUAGAAGAGCAUGACAUUUACUGUUGUGUCGAUAUUAUCUCCUCGGACCUUGAAAAUUUAUGGUGGGGUCACGCAAAUUUCUCAACAGGCCGUACCGAUAUCCGCAGCUGGUCUCCAAGGUGAAGAGUCUCUAGUCGAUAGAAUAAUGUAGGUAAGGGAAGUCGGCAAAUUAUUUAAAGAGUUUUUAACAAGAGGUGUCAGAAAAGUUACCACAGGGGUAACUGGCUUGUGGCGGCCAAGCGUUCAUAGCGACGUCGCUUUUUGAUCCUUCGAUGUCGGCUCUCCCUAUCAUUGUGAAGCAAAAUUCACCAAGCGUUGGAUUGUUCACCCAUGCAAGGGAACGUGAGCUGGGUUUAGACCGUCGUGAGACAGGUUAGUUUUACCCUACUAAUGACAUUAUAUUAUUGCGACAGCAUUCCUGCGUAGUACGAGAGGAACCGCAGGUACGGACCAAUGGUACAAUACUUGUUCGAGCGAACAGUGGUAUGAUACUACGUCCGUUGGAUUAUGCCUGAACGCCUCUAAGGUCGUAUCCGCGCUGGACUGCAAUGAUAAAUAUGGGGCAAUUGCAUUGUAUGGCUUUUAAAUUAUUUUUAAGUUUUAUAAUUUUCCAUUAUAAAACGACGCAAAUAAUUAAAUGUGACGCCAAUGUUAUAUGUAAUAUAGCUAAUGUAAGAGGAUUAAAUAUCACUUGCAUGUUAUGCUCUUUUAAAUUACACAUAUUUUUAAAACAUUAUUUAAUACAAUGGCAAUGCCUAGAAUCAAUUGUAAACGACUUUGGUAACGGGCAAGGUGUUGUAAG
rnacentral:rRNA from 1 species